GCGGAGGGAUCAUUAAAGAGUUCUAUAACUCCCAAACCCAUGUGAACAUACCUAACGUUGCCUCGGCAGGUCGCACCUACCUUGUAGCACCCUACCCUGUAGGGCCUACCCGGGAGGUGCGGGUAAGCCUGCCGGCGGCCCACCAAACUCUGUUUGAUAUUGAAUUCUGAACCUAUAACUAAAUAAGUUAAAACUUUCAACAACGGAUCUCUUGGUUCUGGCAUCGAUGAAGAACGCAGCGAAAUGCGAUAAGUAAUGUGAAUUGCAGAAUUCAGUGAAUCAUCGAAUCUUUGAACGCAUAUUGCGCCCAUUAGUAUUCUAGUGGGCAGGACCGUUCGAGCGUCAUUUCAACCCUUAAGCCUUCGUUGCUUAGUGUUGGGAGCCUACGGCAACGUAGCUCCUCAAAGUUAGUGGCGGAGUUGGUUCACACUCUAGACGUAGUAAUUUUUUAUCUCGCCUAUUAGUUGGACUAAUCCCCUGCCGUAAAACCCCCAAUUUAUCAAGGUUGACCUCGAAUCGGUUCAGACAAACUCGCUAAAUUGAAGCAUCUUAGUCAGCGAAGGAAAAGAAACCAACAGGGAUUGCCCUAGUAACGGCGAGUGAA
rnacentral:rRNA from 1 species